rnacentral:rRNA from 1 species
CACGUAGGCGGUUUUUUAAGUCAGUGGUGAAAUCCUGCGGCUCAACCGUAGAACUGCCAUUGAAACUGAGGAACUUGAAUAUAAUUGAGGUAGGCGGAAUGAGUAGUGUAGCGGUGAAAUGCUUAGAUAUUACUCAGAACACCAAUUGCGAAGGCAGCUUACCAAGCUAUAAUUGACGCUGAGGCACGAAAGCGUGGGAUCAACA